rnacentral:rRNA from 1 species
GUUAGAACGCUCGUAGUCGGAUUUCGGGGCGGGCCGACCGGUCUGCCGAUGGGUAUGCACUGGUCGGCGCGUCCUUCCUUCCGGAGACCGUCCCUACUCUUAACUGAGCGGGGGCGGGAGACGGGACUUUUACUUUGAAAAAAUCAGAGUGUUUCAAGCAGGCAGCUCGCUCUUGCAUGGAUUAGCAUGGGAUAAUGAAAUAGGACUUUGGUGCUAUUUUGUUGGUUUCGAACACCGAAGUAAUGAUGAGAAGGGACAGUCAGGGGCACUCGUAUUCCGCCGAGAGAGGUGAAAUUCUCAGACCAGCGGAAGACGAACCACUGCGAAAGCAUUUGCCAGGGAUGUUUUCACUGAUCAAGAACGAAAGUUAGGGGAUCGAAGACGAUCAGAUACCGUCGUAGUCUUAACCAUAAACCAUGCCGACUAGGGAUCGGAGGAUGUUCACUUAUUGACUCCUUCGGCACCUUACGGGAAACUAAAGUCUUUGGGUUCCGGGGGGAGUAUGGUCGCAAGGCUGAAACUUAAAGGAAUUGACGGAAGGGCACCACCAGGUGUGGAGCCUGCGGCUUAAUUUGACUCAACACGGGGAAACUUACCAGGUCCAGACAUUGUGAGGAUUGACAGAUUGAGAGCUCUUUCUUGAUUCGAUGGGUGGUGGUGCAUGGCCGUUCUUAGUUGGUGGAGUGAUUUGUCUGGUUAAUUCCGUUAACGA